UACAUUAUAUAUUAUCUUUUUCGAAAUUAUUUAUUUUGUACUGUACUUUCAUUUUAUACAUUUUUACUUGGGAGUGUAUAUCUUUUAUACUGUAUUUAACUUUUUCUAUUUCUUCCAUAGGCUAUAGGAUUUUAUUUUCUUAUUCUUCUUUCUCAUUUCUGAUUUAUCGUUCAAGUAAAACACCCACAAAUUAUAUCAAACUUCUUGAAGCAAGAAUGAAGAUAGAAUUUGGUUCCUCCUUGUGAAUCUCCUCAAUCAAGGCAGCGGGAGUCAAAUUCGAUGUAGACGCGAAUACCGUCGAGAGAUUAUACAAACAAUUCUUUGAUGAAGUCUUUCUUGUGCAGAUGCAGUUCCGGCAACCAUAUCAUCUUUCUUCUUUGUUUGGGUAUCAUUUUUUUGGGAUUGUGCUAAUCAACCAUAUCAUCUUAGAUUUGCAAUCACUGAUUCAAUUGGGAAACAAUUCACUAAUCUGUGGUCAAAGUUUAUCAGUUGAGUUGAUCCCAUAAAAAUGACUUUCAUUUCUAAGCAUGAAGAGAUUUGGAUAUAAUUCUAUUAUAUUGCAGUUCUAUCAAUUGAAGCCGAAACAAGGAAAUCCAGAUUAGAAGACUGAACGGCCAGCAGCGCGGCCACUAAAAGUUCUUACUGGUUCUCAACUGAAACUGAUCCAAAUUGCAAACUGUGGAACUGAUACUGGUAGUGACAUUGGGCCAAGAAUAUUUUCUGUCAUUUUUUACUGGUUCUCCAAUUAGCAAAAUGCAAUAAUAUUUAGAAAGACUCUCAGUA